rnacentral:rRNA from 1 species
AAGCGUUUACGACCAGACUUUUUCCUGGCGGAUCAUGCGGUGUUCUCACCGCUGCACUUCGCCAGGUCAAGGCCAGCAUCGGUUUCCGCAGGGGGAUAAAAACGUAGGGAACGUAGCUCCUCGGAGUGUUAUAGCCCUUCGUAUAAUACCCUUGCGGGGACCGAGGACCGCGCUACGGCAAGGAUGCUGGCGUAAUGGUCGUCAACGA